AACGCGAAGAACCUUACCCAGGCUUGAACAGCGAGUGACCACUCACGAAAGUGAGCUUCCGCAAGGACACUCGUAGUAGGUGCUGCAUGGCUGUCGUUAGCUCGUGUCGUGAGAUGUUGGGUUAAGUCCCGCAACGAGCGCAACCCUUGUCUGCUGUUGCCAUCACGUUAUGGUGGGCACUCCGCAGAGACUGCCGGUGAUAAACCGGAGGAAGGUGGGGAUGACGUCAAGUCAGCAUGGCCUUUAUGUCUGGGGCUACACACGUGCUACAAUGGCCGAUACAAACCGUCGCGAGCCCGCAAGGGGGAGCUAAUCGGAGAAAGUCGGUCUCAGUUCGGAUUGUCGGCUGCAACUCGCCGGCAUGAAGUUGGAAUCGCUAGUAAUCGCGGAUCAGCACGCCGCGGUGAAUACGUUCCCGGGUCUUGUACACACCG
rnacentral:rRNA from 1 species